AUAAGUAAUGUGAAUUGCAGAAUUCAGUGAAUCAUCGAAUCUUUGAACGCACCUUGCGCUCCUUGGUAUUCCGAGGAGCAUGCCUGUUUGAGUGUCAUUAAAUUCUCAACCUUGUCACUUUUUUGGUCGRCCAAUGGCUUGGAUGUGGGGGUUUUGCAKGUUUCUCUUUUGAAAUCAGCUCCCCUGAAAUGUAUUAGCUGGUUGCGUUGUGUAGACCUGUCUAUUGGUGUGAUAAUUAUCUACGCCGUGGACUGUUUGCCAUUUUAGCACUGCUUCUAACUGUCUGUUCAUUCAGACGAUAUAUGACAAUUUGACCUCAAAUCAGGUAGGACUACCCGCUGAACUUAAGCAUAUCAAUAAGCGGAGGAAAAGAAACUAACAAGGAUUCCCCUAGUAACUGCGAGUGAAGCGGGAAAAGCUCAAAUUUAAAAUCUGGCGGUCUUUGGCUGUCCGAGUUGUAAUCUAGAGAAGUGUUAUCCGCGCUGGACCGUGUACAAGUCUCCUGGAAUGGAGCGUCAUAGAGGGUGAGAAUCCCGUCUUUGACACGGACUGCCAGGGCUUUGUGAUGCGCUCUCAAAGAGUCGAGUUGUUUGGGAAUGCAGCUCAAAAUGGGUGGUAAAUUCCAUCUAAAGCUAAAUAUUGGCGAGAGACCGAUAGCGAACAAGUACCGUGAGGGAAAGAUGAAAAGAACUUUGGAAAGAGAGUUAAACAGUACGUGAAAUUGCUGAAAGGGAAACGCUUGAAGUCAGUCGCAUUGUCUGGGAAUCAACCUUGCUUUUGCUGGGCGUACUUUCCAGAUGAUGGGUCAGCAUCAAUUUUAACCGUUGGAUAAAGUCUAGAGGAAUGUGGCAUCUUCGGAUGUGUUAUAGCCUUUGGUCGCAUACAACGGUUGGGAUUGAGGAACUCAGCACGCCGAAAGGCCGGGUACUUGUACCACGUUCGUGCUUAGGAUGCUGGCAUAAUGGCUUUAAUCGACCCGUCUUGAAACACGGACCAAGGAGUCUAACAUGCCUGCGAGUAUUUGGGUGGAAAACCCGAGUGCGUAAUGAAAGUGAAAGUUGAGAUCCUUGUCAUGGGGAGCAUCGACGCCCGGACCAGACCUUUUGUGACGGAUCUGCGGUAGAGCAUGUAUGUUGGGACCCGAAAGAUGGUGAACUAUGCCUGAAUAGGGUGAAGCCAGAGGAAACUCUGGUGGAGGCUCGUAGCGAUUCUGACGUGCAAAUCGAUCGUCAAAUUUGGGUAUAGGGGCGAAAGACUAAUCGAACCAUCUAGUAGCUGG
rnacentral:rRNA from 1 species